GACGAACGCUGGCGGCGUGCUUAACACAUGCAAGUCGAACGGAAAGGCCCUGCUUUUGUGGGGUGCUCGAGUGGCGAACGGGUGAGUAACACGUGAGUAACCUACCCUUGACUUUGGGAUAACUUCAGGAAACUGGGGCUAAUACCGGAUAGGAGCUCCUGCUGCAUGGUGGGGGUUGGAAAGUUUCGGCGGUUGGGGAUGGACUCGCGGCUUAUCAGCUUGUUGGUGGGGUAGUGGCUUACCAAGGCUUUGACGGGUAGCCGGCCUGAGAGGGUGACCGGCCACCUUGGGACUGAGAUACGGCCCAGACUCCUACGGGAGGCAGCAGUGGGGAAUAUUGCACAAUGGGAGGAAGCCUUAUGCAGCAACGCCGCGUGCGGGAAGAAGGCCUUCGGGUUGUAAACCGCUUUCGCCUGUGACGAAGCGUGAGUGACGGUAAUGGGUAAAGAAGCACCGGCUAACUACGUG
rnacentral:rRNA from 1 species